rnacentral:snoRNA from 1 species
AAGGAACCUCUGACAGACCUGGAGCAGUUACUGUCUGCUGCUAAAGUUUCCACUACAGAUGCAUGAAAAAGAAGGUCCUUGUGCUUUCUGUCUGUCUGGUUGUGGCAGCCAAGAUUAAAUGGGGAAUACAGGA